rnacentral:rRNA from 1 species
AACGAACGCUGGCGGCAUGCCUAACACAUGCAAGUCGAACGAGACCUUCGGGUCUAGUGGCGCACGGGUGCGUAACGCGUGGGAACCUGCCCUUAGGUUCGGAAUAACUCCCCGAAAGGGGUGCUAAUACCGGAUAAUGUCUUCGGACCAAAGAUUUAUCGCCUUUGGAUGGGCCCGCGUUGGAUUAGCUAGUUGGUAGGGUAAAAGCCUACCAAGGCGACGAUCCAUAGCUGGUCUGAGAGGAUGAUCAGCCACACUGGGACUGAGACACGGCCCAGACUCCGACGGGAGGCAGCAGUGGGGAAUAUUGGACAAUGGGCGAAAGCCUGAUCCAGCAAUGCCGCGUGAGUGAUGAAGGCCUUAGGGUUGUAAAGCUCUUUUACCCGGGAUGAUAAUGAGAGUACCGGGAGAAUAAGCUCGGGCUAACUCCGUG